UACGUAGGGUGCGAGCGUUAAUCGGAAUUACUGGGCGUAAAGCGCGUGUAGGCGCUUUGCAAGUCGGAUGUGAAAUCCCCACGGCUCAACCGUGGAAGUGCAUCCGAAACUGCAUCGCUGGAGUCUCGGAGAGGAAGGUGGAAUGCUUGGUGUAGAGGUGAAAUUCGUAGAUAUCAAGCAGAACACCUGCGGCGAAGGCGGCCUUCUGGACGAUGACUGACGCUGAGACGCGAAAGCGUGGGGAGCAAACAGG
rnacentral:rRNA from 1 species